CACGUAGGGUGCGAGCGUUGUCCGGAAUUAUUGGGCGUAAAGAGCUCGUAGGCGGUGUGUCGCGUCGGCCGUGAAAACCUGCAGCUUAACUGUGGGCGUGCGGUCGAUACGGGCAUCACUGGAGUUCGGCAGGGGAGACUGGAAUUCCUGGUGUAGCGGUGAAAUGCGCAGAUAUCAGGAGGAACACCGGUGGCGAAGGCGGAUCUCUGGGCCACUACUGACGCUGAGAAGCGAAAGCAUGGGGAGCGAACAGG
rnacentral:rRNA from 1 species